rnacentral:rRNA from 1 species
GACGAACCGUGCGAACGUUAUUCGGAAUCACUGGGCUUAAAGCGCGUGUAGGCGGGCCGCCGCGUCGGCUGCUGAAAUCCCCCGGCUCAACCGGGGAACGGGCACCGAUACGGGCGGCCUCGAGGGGGGUAGGGGGGCCUGGAACUUCCGGUGGAGCGGUGAAAUGCGUUGAGAUCGGAAGGAACGCCCGUGGCGAAAGCGAGGCCCUGGACCCUUUCUGACGCUGAGACGCGAAAGCCAGGGGAGCGAACGGG